CCAGGAUUAAAGGAGCUAACACUUGGAAGAUACUCAGAAUGGUCCUGAUACAUAGAAAGCCCUCCAUAGAUGUUAUCCCUGAACAUUGUUGUCACUGGGAGACUGUUUUGCAAGGAGAACACAGCAAGAAGACCGCCAUCUAUGAAUCAAGACAUGGGCCCUCAACAGACACUGAAUCCACUGGCACCUUGAUCUUGGACUUCCCAGCCUCCAGAACCAUGAAAAAUAAAUUUCUGUUGUUUAUAAGCCACCCAGGCUGUGGUUCUUAGUUAUAGCAGCCCGACGGACUAAGACACAAAAGAAAUAAAAACAUAUGUUUAGACAAUUAUUAUUGUAGGAACAUUCACAGCAGUUUUAUUCAUGAUGGCCAAGAAUUAGAAACAGCCAAAAUGUUCACCAACAGGUAGAUGGAUAAAUAAAUCAUGGUCUAACCACAGAGGGGAAUACUACUCAGCAAUACAAAGGAGUCUCUCCUAAUACGUGCAACAACAUUCAUGAAUCCCAAAAACUUUAUCUGGAGCCAAGCCAGACACAAAUGUGUACAUACAGUACGGAAUGACUUCAGAUUCUGAAAAAAGGCAAAUCUGACCAAUUGAGGCAGAAAGCAGGUCAGUGGUUCCCCAGGUCUGGGACUGGGGUGGGUUACUGAUAGCAAAUGGGCAUGUGGGUGCCUUGGGGUAGGGUAAAGGUUCCAUCUUGAUCACGGUGGUGUUUCCCAAGUGUAUACACUCACCAAAACUAUACUUAGAACUCAAAACUCGCCAAAUAUAUACUUAAAAUGGAUGCAGUUGGUUAUGUAUAAAUUAUACCUCAAUAAAGUUGAUUAAAAACAUCAAUUCCUCAGAAAAUUCUUUUCUGACCACUCCCCUCUCAGACGAGGUCGGGCCUCCUGGUAUGCAUACCCAUACCCACUACAACCUGUAUUUAUUUUUUUUGAAACAUGGUCUCUUUCUGUUGUCCAGGCUGGAGUGCAGUGGCUCAAUUAGGACUCACUGCAGCCUCGACCUCCCAGGCUCAAGUGAUCCUCCCAUUUCAGCCUCCUGAGUAGCUGGGACCACAGGCAUGUACCACCACACCCAGCUAAUUUUUUUUUUUUUUUUUUUUGGUAGAAACAGGAUCUUACUAUGUGGCCCAGGCUGGUCUCAAACUUCUGGUCUCAAAGCAAUCUUCCCAUCUUG
rnacentral:lncRNA from 1 species